rnacentral:tRNA from 1 species
CCGCGUCGCCGUGGUCCCGCGCGGCGGGGAACGUGGUUGGGGCGGUAGGAUUCGAACCUACGAAUGGCGGGAUCAAAACCCGCUGGCUUGAACCA